GGUCUCACUCGGUCUCUCACAUCUCGUGUAGUAGCCUGAGCCCUGAGCCUUGAGCCUCCUCUCUCUCUCGGUCUUCAAUCACUCUCUCAAACUCUCUGUCUCUCAUUCCCAACACCAUCUCUCCAUUUCUCUCUAUUUUUGCCUUCAUCCAAAAAAAUUUCAUACACCUCCAUCUCGGCCAAGCUCUCGCCGCCGUCAAUUUCGAUGUCCUCUUCAGGUUCGCACAUUCAAUCUCAUUAUUUGUAUAUUUAAUUUAAUGAUUGUGUAAUUUAUUGUGCUGUAGAGAGAAGAAAUCAGAUCUAUGGUUGAAAAGGAUGGAUCUGCAAAGGGAAUUGUUUUCAGCCAGUUCACAUCGUUCUUGGAUAUUUCAAGGUCCGACCCGAACCCCAAAUUCUGUUUCUGCAUGUUUUUAGAUUUCUAGGGUUUUAUAUUUGUGUAUGCGAAAUGGGAUUUUUGUUUUGCAGGCAUAUUUGCGUCGUUAGCGGCGCUGAUGUUCAAUUGCAUAAAAAAGGUGGACAAGAAUGCGUGUGGAGGUGAGCAAUUGAAUGCACAACUCAGAUAUUGAUUACUCAUAUAACUGCAUAAGAAAUUAAAAACCUACCCAGUUGAUGGGUUUCUCGAUUUAAUUCUCCACCCAAGACAGAGAGUUUGUGUGUAAAGAGAGAAAGCAAAGAGGGUCUGACAUUUGGGCAGCGACGAUUGAGUUGCUGCUGCUACUGCUACUGCUGCUGCUCAAAAAAUGGAUUGCAACAACGACAAUUGAGUUGCUGCUUGAGUAUCAUUAAAGUAAGAAAAUAGUGGUGCUAUAGCGGAAGAAGAGGGAAGAGAAACAGUUGAGUCAUCCUGUUUCUGUUUUAGGGACUGGGAGAAACUUUUGGGAGAGUGACAAUUGAAGCCAUGGCAUUCGGUCUUCCGGUGCUUAGAACCGAAGCCAGAGGCACAAAAGAGAUUGUUGAACACAAUGUAACAUGUCUGCUUCAUCCUGUGGGGCAUGACGGAACUUGUGGCCUCGCCGAGAAUCUCCGGUUUUUGCUUAAAAUGUGUGCAAUCAAAGGAUUCCAUCUAACCAUAGAUGUUGAAGAGCUAUAGCUGUUUACUUUCCCCAGGCACUAAAUUCUAAAUGUUGUUCUCUCUUGCAGUUUUAUUAUUAUUUUUAUAUUCAUGUUAUUUCUUUUUUGUUUGCACAGCAGAGGUCGAUGCAUUGAAGAACCAUAGAUGUUGAAGAACCAUGGAUGUCGAACACAACAGAGGUCGAUGCAUUGAAGGCGGAAGUGACGCACCUGAGGGUCGAGGGCGAGCAGAUGAAGGCGCAGCUGAGGGCCCAGGAUGAGGAGAUGAAGAUAUGUGUCGAGAGGGUGCAAGAACUUGUACAAGCUAUACAGAUGUCCGGCCUCCAAAUCUUGCUACCAGCACCUCAUCUUGCUUCACCUUCGACCUCAGAGCCAUCUCGCCUUGCCAAUACCCAAUAGCCUGAUGUAUUAAACCUAGUUCACUUGUAGUUUUUUCUUUUUUGUUUGGACAUCUUGUAUGUACAUUUUCAUAUAUUUUAUAAUUAAAUACUUUUGCUUGGUUAAUUAA